GGGCACAUGGCUAAGUGACAAAGCAUAUACUUCAUAAGGACAAGGUCCUAGGUUCUAUCCCUGAAUGUUACCA